UACGUAGGGUGCAAGCGUUAAUCGGAAUUACUGGGCGUAAAGCGUGCGCAGGCGGUUUUGUAAGUCUGUCGUGAAAGCCCCCGGGCUCAACCUGGGGAAUUGCGAUGGAGACUGCAAGGCUUGAAUCUGGCAGAGGGGGGGUAGAAUUCCACGUGUAGCAGUGAAAUGCGUAGAGAUGUGGAGGAACACCGAUGGCGAAGGCAGCCCCCUGGGUCAAGAUUGACGCUCAUGCACGAAAAGCGUGGGGGAGCAAACAGG
rnacentral:rRNA from 1 species